UACAGAGGGGGCAAGCGUUGUUCGGAAUUACUGGGCGUAAAGGGCGCGUAGGCGGCCUUGUAAGUCGAGCGGGAAAUCCCCGGGCUCAACCCGGGAACUGCGUCCGAUACUGGGAGGCUUGAAUCCGGGAGAGGGAUGCGGAAUUCCAGGUGUAGCGGUGAAAUGCGUAGAUAUCUGGAGGAACACCGGUGGCGAAGGCGGCAUCCUGGACCGGCAUUGACGCUGAGGCGCGAAAGCCAGGGGAGCAAACGGG
rnacentral:rRNA from 1 species